GGGAGAACUUGCACAAUUGGUGGCUGACUAAAUAUUUUUUUGCCCCACUGUAUAUUGGUCAGUAGCCUACAGAGCGGUGUGCAAGAAUUAAGGCUACUGCCUACAUGAAAGGCUCACUUUAUCAUUGAACUCGACAUCUUUCUUCUCAAAUCCGCAGGACAUAAAACAAUAUAGAGAAUGUUUGUACACAGGCAAAGAGGAAGUGUUAACAGACAACUUGUGACCAAAGUGAAACUAACAACAGGAAAGAUGUUUGGUCCCCAAUCAAGGAGGGGAGAAACCAUUGAUGAAAGGUACAGUAUAUAAACCAAUGUACAUGAAAUGAUGGGCAGAGCUCUCAAGAAUAAACAUCACUGACAGUCUCCGUCUGUUUCAUUUCCCCCAGAACCUUACAAACUAUGGGUACAGACUGAGUAUUUUAAUCGAAUUGGUUAAUGAACACAUAAGAACCAAAUUCAUCUAACAAUUGGUCCUUCGAGCCGGAUCUCAAUACCUGCCUCUGUCGUCCCAAGGAACUGCUGAAAACCGUGCAGACGGGAUACUUAAGACGGGAUACUAAAUGGGUGUUGUUAGAUAGGACGGUCGUCUUGUACAAAUAAUAACUAACAGGAUAACUUAACCUAUUCAACACAUGGAUAGUGUCCAAAAGGGAGGAGAGGGAAGCCUAAUAUAGCGGAGUGAGAUACGAGAUAUUGGUAUACUUUAAAAGUCCUAUGUACGGGUGAGACCUAAUAUCCGAUCGAAAGUCAACUGUAUAGAUAAAGUUUCCAGAAAGGAGAAACACACAUCAAACGUCACAUACACAUAGAGUGUGUAAAUAUACCCUAGAACAGAACUAUAGAUACACAUUGGUUAAAGAGACAAUUAGAUUGUGAGCAUUAAAGAGACACACACAUAGUCAGGCAGAAGAGCAACAAUAGUAACUAGGUAACAGUAAACAGCACAUACAUAGAUCAUAGAAAUAUAUACACAUAGAUAGUGAUAAAUACCGUAGCGACUAGUGACUGCAAGGAUUUAUCAAACAUGGGUAGUAAAUCGGUCCCGUAAUUAAUGGGAGAUGAGCGCUAUAUGGAGCAAAAAGAUAAAAGAAACAUUGAUUUUGGUCCAAAAUGGAGAAAGAAGUAUGAAUUUGAUGGGCGUCUGGAUGUAGAAAAGCUAGAAUUGCUUAUAAAACAGAUAUAUGUAGACGUUAUAUUGGUGACAAAUCCCUCACAGGAGGGCUGUAAAGCUGAUACCCUAGCUCUGUUCCUCUUUUUCGCAGACCAAGGUCACAAAGUGAAUAGGAGGAAGUCACAGCUCAGGCAGUUGAGGACUCGGCAUCUGUUGUGCUUUAUCAUGAUUUGACUUAAACAAUUCCACAUGCCGUAUCCAUUCUGUUGUUAGAACAUACAAUGGUUAACAUGUCACCAGCUAGACAUCUGUCUUGUAUGUUAAUCCUUUUCAACAUGCCUAAUUUGACAAUGGAACGUUGUACUACUCUGAACCCCUCCACAUUAGUUCCUCUUGCAACAGAUGGCAGCCCACAUGAUUGUGUAACAGAAACCAAGAAAGUUGUCUUACUACGACCCGAUUUGACUGAUCUAGCUUUAUCUGAUGGGGAACUGACUAUGUUUGUAGAUGGGUCGUAUAGAAAGAACCCAGAGGGCUCAAAUGCAACUGGUUAUGCAUUAGUGACUCUUACUGGGGUGUUGGAAGCUGAAGCAUUACAAAACAAUUACUCUGUUCAGCAAGUUGAAAUUUUUGCCCUUACCAGAGCUUGUGAAUUGAGGAAGGGUAAAUGUAUUACGAUAUAUACUGACAGUGCUUAUGCUUUUAACACCAUCCAUGUAUUUGCACCUCAGUGGAAAAACAGGGGUAUGGUCACCAUGGCGGGUAAACCAAUUACCCAUGUGAAGCUAAUUUUGAAUUAACUAAAGGCAGUUUUAUUACCAAAGACAGUAGCAAUUUGUAAAUGUGAAGCACAUACGACUUGGUAAUAGAAGGGCAGAUUAGGAAGCUAAGCCAGCAGCCGGAAAGCAACACCCACACACAGACUCUCACUUGAAAGAGGAAGAUAGUAUUGACACAGAAUUACUGAAGGAAAGUCAGCUUAGAGCUCCGAUUAAGGAAGUUGCUAGAUGGGUUAAGAUGGGAGCCGCUGAUAAAGGAGGAAUUUGGCACAAAGGGUACCUACCUAUUUUACCUAAGUCAAGGUUUAAAUAGGCUGUUGUAUUGUUACCUGUGCAGAGCUAGGUAUCAAAGGGGUGAUGGGUAGUUGUGGCCUAGGAUAGGACAGGGCCUAGGGGGGCCUAGUAUUGGACACUUUGUGGCCUAUUGGAUAAUAUAUAUAUUUAUUAUUUUUAUUACAAAAAUUCUAGCUAACAAGUAGGCAUAGAAGUUGAAGAUAUAAUCAGAUAGGACAAAUGAGAAACUGUUUGUUAACCAAAACUGUAUAUCCAAGAUUUUAUGCACUACAGGUGAAUUACAGGAGAAGGUGAUUCACUCCCUGAGGAGAAUAGAUGGGAAGCAGCCCCGUUGGGAGGGGCCAUACCAAGUACUCCUGGUGACAGCCUUCGCGGUGAGAAUAGCUGAAGGAGCUACCUGGGUUCAUAUCACACAUUGCGGGAGGGUAAGACACAUUGACACUGUCGAACAAUCACAGAGUUAGGAGCAGAACCGAAACCAACAAGGUUCGGAAGUUAACUCUCUAACGAAGAUUUCCUGACACAGUUUUGCCCCCCCCCCCCCCCCUGUGUGCGUUCAUAGAAGUGAAAGUUUAGGCAAUGAGGAUUUUAUAUUAACCAAGCAUAAGAGAUCACUUGAUCUGGAUAAACAGGAAGUGAGAGUGGAGAUUGGAAAGGAUGUCUCAGUGGAGUCCUAUGUAGACCAAAUGGGGUCUCUGACUCCUUGGCAGUCUAGGACUAUGAGCCAUUAUGGAAGAUAUCUGUACUGGUCCCUGUGUAGUUCAUGGACACUGGUCAUAGUUCACACAGAGAAAUAGGGCUAUAUGAAUCCACAUACCCAGUAUGGAAGGAGGUGUAGUAUAGUGAAGGUAAAGGUUUCAGUUGACACCCUAGUGCCAUUCCGGGAAGAAGACGUUAGGGCAGAUGAUAGCUAUAUAGUCAGCCAGAAUACAAGCAGAGCCCCAGAAAAAAACAGAUACUGACAGCAGAGUCGUCCAGAGCCAAGGGCCGGUGCGGAUAGUGCAGACGAAAGAUCUUAAGGAAGUGAUUGAAAGGAAAAUGGUUAUGGGGAUUCUAACCUAUGGUUAGAAUGGAUUCAGUAUACAGCCAGAUCAGUAGCAAAAGAAGAAUGUUAUGCCUGCGCCACAGCAAAACCUCAGUUGACAACCAUUCCCUUUCCAUUUGAUGGAAUUGAUACACCCAGGGGAAUGGCCUGUAUGGUAAAGCUGUUCAUGAGGGCAGGGAAGCCGGACAAUGACAGUUGCAUUGAUCUGCGUUAUCUGUAUCCCCAUGUGCCCAUUACAUCCAGACUUCCCCCUUUCACAGUUACAGGACAACAUUAUUAUUGUAUGGCUCGCUACAUCACACACGGAUGGGACAUAGGGGAAGUAAGAACAUGCAAUAGGACAGAAAAUAUUACAAUCGACAAGACAAUGAGGGACAUGACUGGCAGAUGAAAGGCCUAGAGUGGAUGUCUAGUGGUUUGUGGAGGUGUGAGACUGUGAGACUGUGGCCUAACCUGUCUACCAAUUGGACCGGUAGUUGUGCACUAGUGCAGUUAGGCAUGCCCUUCACCCUUACCCAGAGUCAGGUAGAAGAGUGAGAAGGAGUGCUCCGUCAGGAUCUUUUGACAAUAGAGUUUACAUUGAUAGCAUUGGAGUUCCAAGGGGGUUACCUGAUUCGUUCUGGAUUGGAAUCAAGCAUCUUCUGGUGAUAACAGCUGCAACUAGGUUGAUGGGAUGUCAGAAUAGAAUAGCCCUGAAUAUGUUACUGGCUGAAAAGGGUGAGGUUCCUCCAAUAACACAGCUCCAGACGGAUCAGUGACCAAGGCCCUGGAAGAGAACUCUGGGGUAGAUAAUGCUCUAACAAAUUAGUUUUGACAGUAUGUUCGGAAAUUGGAAAAAUGUCAUGAUCACUGUGUUGUGGGCAACUUUCACCUGUAUGAGUGUUUUGGUGCCGUGUGAAAGCUGUUUGAUUCCGUGAGUGAAAGGUCUAAUUUCCAGGACUCUGGAGAAAUCAAUGAGACCACAGAUGGUGAGAUACAGACCGAUCCCAAGCUCUGACCAGUGAGGACCUGAGCCCUAGGAGCAUGCCUCAGGACUACCUGGCCUGACGACUCCUGGCUGUCCCCUUCCCCAGUCCACCUAGUCCUGCUGCUGAUCCAAUUUCUGCUGUUCUGCCGGCGGCUAUGGAACCCUGACCUGUUCACCGGAUGUGCUAUCUUGUCGGGCUUCUGAUCCAGUUUCUUCUGUUCUGUCUGUGGCUAUGGAACCCUGACCUGUUCACCGGACCUUCUACCCUAUCCCGGACCUGCUGUUUCGACUCUCUCUCUCUCUCGCUCUCUCUUCUGCAGCUGCUGUCUCGAACUCUGAAUACUCAUCUAUGAAAAGCCACCUGACAUUUACUCCUGAGGUGCUUACCUGUUGCACCCUCUAUAACCACUGUGAUUAUUAUUUGACCCUGCUUGUCAUCUAUGAACAUUUGUACAUCUUGAAGAACGAUCUAGCCUUAAUGUCCAUGUACUCUUAUCUCCACCGGCACAGCCAGAAGAGGACUGGCAACCUCAAAGCCUGGUUCCUCUCUAGGUUUCUUUCCACGUUCCUAAUCUUUCUAGGGAGUUUUUCCUAGCCACACUGCUUCUACAUCUGCAUUGCUUGCUGUUUGGUGUUUUAAGCUGGGUUUCUGUAUAAGCUCCCUGGUCUAUGUACUUGAAUCUGUGCUUGAAAUGUAAUUCUUGACUGAGGGACCUUACAGAUGUUGUAUGUAUGGGGGACAGAGGAAGGGGUUGUCAUUCAAAAAUGAUGUCAACCCAUAUUAUUUCACACAUGUAACUUAUUAUGUGAUUUGUUACACUAAAUGUUACUCCUGAACUAAUUUAGGCUUACCUAAACAAAAGGGGAGAAUACUUUAGCUACAUUAUUGUUAUUUAAUCAUUUGCAUUAAUUUGUUAACACUUGUGGUAUUUUCUAUUUACUUUGACAUUAUGGAGUGUGUAGAUCAAUGACAAAAAAAUCACAACUAAACCCAUUUCAAUCCUACUUUAUCAAGCAACAAAAUGUGAAAAAAAAGCUUACUUAUCAUACACACUGUAUUUAUUACGAUAUCACAAUCUCUGUCUCCAAUGUGAGAGGCCAGCUAUCUCUCUCUCUCACACACACACACACACACACACACACACACACACACACACACAAAUAUUCAGGAAGUAUUUCGUUGAUUAUUCUUCUCCAUUUGAUAUUGCCAUUAAGAUGCACAUGCAUGCAUGGCAGUGAAAAAUAUCCAGACUCAACCAAGCAGUCUUUUUGUAUAAAAACUACGGUAUUAGACCUUUUAAGUAGAUAGCCCAAAAAACAUCCUAAUUCCAUUGAGAAAUAGCAUUUAUUGUCUCACAAAUUGGAUACAUUUUAUCACUUUUAUCAAUUCAAGCAAACUCCAGAUUUGUUGGGAUGGACUGUGAAUUUCAAUGUGGGCAAUUCCACUUCACUCAGUCAACAACUAUGUCUAUAGUAAAAAUAAAAAUUAUUAAACACAGCAGGAUUCCAAAACAUUCAGAACACCCAUAACCGCAAACUGAAACACAAACCCAGAAAUUGAUUUUCAAAUAAAAAACUGUCAUUCAGUUUGUGUGUGAAACCUUCA